CCUUCGAUAGCUCAGUUGGAAGAGCGUGAGACUGUAAUCGGAUAACUCCAAGGCAUCUCAAGGUCACUGGUUCGAUCCCGGUUCGAAGGA